rnacentral:lncRNA from 1 species
AAUGCUUCAGCCAAGUGCCAGAAAUUGGACUGAGAGUGGGAAGAAGGAGAUUUUACUUUGUUUGGCUUCUUCUAAAUGAUGAGUGAAAUUUCACAGUCAUAUCCAUCUUACUUUUAAUAGGUUGCCAUCUUUAAAGAAACUUGUCAUCUUCUGAAGUGGACAGAAAUUGCUUAGAACUGUUAGGUAGUUGGAGUAGGAAAAAGGAGUCCAGAAUGGCAGUGGCUAAAAGACAAGGAAGGGAAAAGCCUGCAAAAAUAAAACAAAGGAAGCUCUGAGGCUGGAGUGAGGACCCCAAGUAGAAAAAACAGCACUCCUGGCUAGCCCAAUUUACAUAGGGCAGGCCCAGGGAGGGAGGAGAAAAAAAAACAUAUAAAAAGGGGAGCCAAAGGGCUCUCUCUCUCUCUCCUCUUAGUGUCCUUUGGGUCGGCAUGCCCUCACGCCUCGAGGAUGUAUUUUCCUUUAUUUUCUAAAUAAAACAGAGCUGUAACACUGAUCUGUCUGGGAGCUGUAACACUGAUGUGUCCAAGAACUGUGACACCAUCUGUCUGAGGGCUUUAACGUCCGUCGCUCCAAAUUUUUGUUGUGAUGAGAUAGAACCAAGGAAAUUACAUACUCCCCUGACAGAACAACUGCUUCCUCUUUCUCCCUAAGGGGAAGGUAACCAGACACUGUACCUGUAUUUUAUAGCUGGUACAGCAUGUAGUUAGUGGUUUAUAUUUGAUCUACCUGCACGCUGCUCAGUAGACCUUAGUAUUUUUUUUUAAUGUACCAUUAGGUUAGCAAGAUGACUUAUAUAAGACCUUAAGAAAGAGCUUGAAUUGCAUUUGGAUUUCCAUCUGAGCUUUUUAAAAUGCUAAGGCACUGGCAGACGCUUACAUGAACACUUGAUAUUGUUCUUUGACACCACCUUAGACUAAAAUACACCUUUCUUUGUGUUUUGCAUACUCCAUGGGAAACCACAAAAUGUAAGGAGCUGCCAGAAGCAAAGAUCAGCAAGGCUAUAAAAGGACAAACAACCCAAGGCAAUCACCCUACAGAUGCUUAUCACAUCAGACCAACCAGGAAUCACAAAUUCAUAUUCAGAGAGAAGAUAAGGUUUGUGGAGGAAGUCAUGCCAAUUUUGGGCUUCCCUGGUGGCUCAGAUGUUAAAGAAUCCACCUGCAAUGCAGGAGACCUGGGUUCGAUCCCUGGGUCAGGAAAAUCCCCUGGAGGAGGGCUUGGCAACCCACUGCAAUAUUCUUGCCUGGAGAAUCCCCAUGGACAGAGAAGCCUGGUAGGUUACAAUUCAUAGUGUUGCAAAGAGUCAGGUACGACUGAGCAACUUAGCACAGCACAGCACAUGCCAAUUUUAUUUCAAAACAUUUAAUUCAAACAAUCACUCUUUUUCAGGUUUAUAAGACUUGUCAGUUAAUAAACAGCAUUUUAUUAAACA